UUGCCAUUUGUGACUCAAGGAAACCUAUUUCCUCAAAGAUAUUAUGCUCUGUACUCACACAAAGUUUGGAUUCAUCCUGGGGGUGAUGGAAGUCAGGCUUUUCUGGAAUGCUUUGUCUCAUUAGUUCCCACUCAGAGAGUAACUUGGGCAGAAUUUCUUUUUUUUUUUUUUUUAAAUAACUUCUUAUUGACAGAACCCAUGCCAGGGUAAUGUUUUACAACAUUAUUCCUUGCACUCACUUCUGUUCCGAUUUUUCCCCUCCCUCCCUCCACCCCCUCCCCCAGAUGGCAAGCAGUCCUUUACAUGUUGAAUAGGUUACAGUAUAUCCUAGAUACAAUAUACGUGUGCAGAACCAAACAGUUCUCUUGUUGCACAGGAAGAAUUGGAUUCAGAAGGUAAAAAUAACCCGGA